rnacentral:rRNA from 1 species
UAGGGAAUCUUCGGCAAUGGGGGGAACCCUGACCGAGCAACGCCGCGUGAGUGAAGAAGGUUUUCGGAUCGUAAAGCUCUGUUGUUAAGGAAGAACGAGUGUGAGAAUGGAAAGUUCAUACUGUGACGGUACUUAACCAGAAAGGGACGGCUAACUACGUGCCAGCAGCCGCGGUAAUACGUAGGUCCCGAGCGUUGUCCGGAUUUAUUGGGCGUAAAGCGAGCGCAGGCGGUUAGAUAAGUCUGAUGUGAAAGCCCCCGGCUCAACCGGGGAGGGUCAUUGGAAACUGGUUGACUUGAGUGCAGAAGGGGAGAGUGGAAUUCCAUGUGUAGCGGUGAAAUGCGUAGAUAUAUGGAGGAACACCAGUGGCGAAGGCGACUCUCUGGUCUGUAACUGACGCUGAGGUUCGAAAGCGUGGGUAGCAAACAGG